CACUUCUAAGGAAGGCAGCAGGCGCGCAAAUUACCCAAUCCUGACUCAGGGAGGUAGUGACAAGAAAUAACAAUAAACCGGCUUAUGCCGGUUUAAUUGGAAUGAGUACAAUUUAAACAUCUUAACGAGGAACAAUUGGAGGGCAAGUCUGGUGCCAGCAGCCGCGGUAAUUCCAGCUCCAAUAGCGUAUACUAAAGUUGUUGCAGUUAAAAAGCUCGUAGUUGGAUUUCUGUGGGGACGGAGCGGCCGGCCGCACAUCGCGGUUCGAGCUAGCGCUUUCCCUACAUCCUGCCGCGAACCGUGCUACCAUUAAUUUGGUGGCGCCGGGGAUCGGCUCGAUUACUUUGAGAAAAAUAGAGUGUUCAAAGCAGGCCACAUGCCUUGAAUAAGUUAGCAUGGAAUAAUAACUAAGGACUUCGGUUCUAUUUUGUUGGUGUUCGGGACUGAAGUAAUGAUUGAUAGGGACAGUUGGGGCGGUCUGUAUUCCAAAGCGAGAGGUGAAAUUCUUAGACCUUCGGAAGACAAACAGCUGCGAAAGCGUUCCGCAAGGAUGUUCCCUUUGAUCAAGAACGAAAGUUGGGGGAUCGAAGACGAUCAGAUACCGUCGUAGUCUCAACUAUAAACUAUACCAGCUAGGGAUCGGCCAACGUUAUUUUAUACCGACUUGGUCGGCACCUUAUGAGAAAUCAAAGCAUCUGGGUUCCGGGGGGAGUAUGGUCGCAAGGCUGAAACUUAAAGGAAUUGACGGAAGGGCACCACCAGCCGUGGAGCCUGUGGCUUAAUUUGACUCAACACGGGAAAACUUACCAGGUCCAGACAUAGUAAGGAUUGACAGAUUGAUAGCUCUUUCUUGAUUCUGUGGGUGGUGGUGCAUGGCCGUUCUUAGUUGGUGGAGUGAUUUGUCUGGUUAAUUCCGUUAACGAUCGAGACCCCAGCCUGCUAAAUAGCGCGCGUGAGCUUUGCUCGCGGCGAGCUUCUUAGAGGGACUCUGAUGCGCGAUAGCACAUGGAAGUUUGGGGCAAUAACAGGUCUGUGAUGCCCUUAGAUGUUCUGGGCCGCACACGGGCUACACUGGCGCCUGCAACGAGCAUAUCAGCUGGCCCGAGAGGGUCUUGGCUAAUCUUUUGAACCGGCGCCGUGCUUGGGAUUGACCUUUGCAAUUGUUGGUCAUGCAACGAGGAAUGCCUUGUAAACGCGAGUCAUCAGCUCGCAUUGAAUACGUCCCUGCCCUUUGUACACACCGCCCGUCGCUCCUACCGAUGAAUGUUCCGAUGAAAUUUUCGGAGAGCACCUGUGAACUUGGCUCUGCCUUGCGAACGGGAGGCUCAAAGUCACUUAAAUCUGAACAUUUCGAGG
rnacentral:rRNA from 1 species